GACUCUCGACAAUAGAUAUCUCGGCUCUCGAAUCGAUGAAGAACGUAGCAAGUACUUAGUGUGAAUUUCAGAAUCCCGUGAACCAUCGAGUCUUUGAACGCAAGUUGCGCCCCAAGCCUUCUGGCCGAGGGCACGUCUGCCUGGGUGUCA
rnacentral:rRNA from 2 species